rnacentral:rRNA from 1 species
GAGUUUGAUCAUGGCUCAGAACGAACGCUGGCGGCAGGCUUAACACAUGCAAGUCGAACGGACCCUUCGGGAUCAGUGGCGGACGGGUGAGUAACGCGUGGGAACCUACCCUGGGGUGGGGAAUAACCUUGGGAAACCGAGGCUAAUACCGCAUACGCCCUAUUGGGGAAAGACUAUGUUGCCCUGGGAUGGGCCCGCGUCCGAUUAGCUAGUUGGUGGGGUAAUGGCCUACCAAGGCUGCGAUCGGUAGCUGGUCUGAGAGGAUGAUCAGCCACACUGGGACUGAGACACGGCCCAGACUCCUACGGGAGGCAGCAGUGGGGAAUAUUGGACAAUGGGGGCAACCCUGAUCCAGCCAUGCCGCGUGAGUGAAGAAGGCCUUAGGGUUGUAAAGCUCUUUCACCCGUGACGAUGAUGACGGUAGCGGGAGAAGAAGCCCCGGCUAAUUCCGUGCCAGCAGCCGCGGUAC